UUUAAUUCAGUAUUUGUAACCUGACUUUUGCAUGAGGAGGUCUUUACAAACCUCCUUCUUCAUAAACUCACCAAAGAAACAAGAACAGGUUCUGACAGAAACACUGAAACUCUUUUCUUCAUGUUUGGAACUUUACUUUGAAAAACUGAAAGACAAUAACUUCAAAUGGAAAUGAAACAAACCUGGAGUUUAGUGUUUUUACUUUUCCUACAAGGAGUCUGGAGUCAGAUCAAACUGGAUCAGAGUCCUAAUGUGGUGAAAAGACCUGGAGAAACUGUGAAAAUGUCAUGUGUCAUUUCUGGUUUUGAUAUGACAGAGUACUACAUCCACUGGAUCAGACAGAAACCAGGCAGAGCUCUGGAGUGGAUCGGAAGGAUGGAUGCUGGAAAAAACUCUCCUAUUUAUGCCAGUUCUUUUCAGGAUCGUUUCCUGAUGACUGAAGUUGUGUCCAGCAGCUCUCAGUAUCUGGAGAUCAGCAGCCUGACAGCAGAAGAUUCUGCUGUUUACUUCUGUGCACGAGAAAGCACAGUGACUGAAGACAGUGAAGCAGCUGCACAAAAACCUCCAACUGCAUCAAACAUCAGAGUGAGGACUUCCGGGAUGACGCCACACUGAGAGGAUCACGCUUCAAGAGCUCCCGACCGGGCUUUCCUAAAUUUAGUAUUUUAAAGUUUAUCUAUCAGUCCCCAGCGUUCCACGGAACCGCCAGAGAUGCUUUAAUAUGUCUACGAAGGAUAAUUCAUCGGAUGGUGCUGAAAAGAAAACCCAAAGAAACACUCGACGUCAGGCCAACGCUGAAGCUAGCACAGCUAAAGAUGUAGGCAACGUGGAUACUAGCCAGGCUGGCGCAAACGUGAUAGUGGAUUUCACCACUAUGAUGGAGGAUAUCAAAAAGACAGUCGCAGCUGUGGUCGAGGAAAAGAUAUCUGUUAUUUCCAGCAAGCUGGACAUCAUACAAAAUACAUUGGAGGG